rnacentral:rRNA from 1 species
GAUGAACGCUAGCGGGAGGCUUAAUACAUGCAAGUCGUACGGUAAGGUUCUCUUCGGAGGAUACACGAGUGGCGCACGGGUGAGUAACGCGUACACGACCUACCUUUUAGAAGGGGAUAGCCCUGGGAAACUGGGAUUAAUACCCUAUGGUAUUUCUGAUUUUAAUUAGAGAUUAAAGGCUUCGGCCGCUGAAAGAUGGGUGUGCGUACUAUUAGAUAGUUGGUGAGGUAACGGCUCACCAAGUCGACGAUAGUUAGGGGGCGUGAGAGCGUGGACCCCCACACGGGUACUGAGACACGGACCCGACUCCUACGGGAGGCAGCAGUAAGGAAUAUUGGACAAUGGGGGCAACCCUGAUCCAGCCAUCCCGCGUGCAGGAAGACGGCCCUAUGGGUUGUAAACUGCUUUUAUAUGGGAAGAAAUGAAUUCAUUUAUGAGUUUUUGACGGUACCAUACGAAUAAGCACCGGCUAACUCCG